UGGGGGAUAUUGCACAAUGGGCGAAAGCCUGAUGCAGCGACGCCGCGUGGGGGAUGAAGGCCUUCGGGUUGUAAACUUCUUUUGCUCUGAACAAGGCAUGCUAAUGGGUGUGUUGAGUGUAGGGGUUGAUUAGCGCCGGCUAACUACGUGCCAGCAGCCGCGGUAAUACGUAGGGCGCGAGCGUUGUCCGGAAUUAUUGGGCGUAAAGGGCUUGUAGGUGGCUGGUUGCGUCUGUCGUGAAAGCUCAUGGCUUAACUGUGGGUUUGCGGUGGGGACGGGCUGGCUUGAGUGCAGUAGGGGAGGCUGGAAUUCCUGGUGUAGCGGUGGAAUGCGCAGAUAUCAGGAGGAAUACCGGUGGCGAAGGCGGGUCUCUGGGCUGUUACUGACACUGAGGAGCGAAAGCAUGGGGAGCGAACAGG
rnacentral:rRNA from 1 species